AGCGGGGCCCAUCCCGUAAGGCUAAAUACUCCCGAGAGACCGAUAGCGAACCAGUACUGUGAAGGAAAGGUGAAAAGAACCUCGAACAGAGGAGUGAAACAGACCCUGAAACCAUGCGCCUACAAGCGGUCGGAGCAUGUUAAAAUGUGACGGCGUGCCUUUUGCAUAAUGAACCUACGAGUUACUCUCGCUGGCAAGGUUAAGCGAUUCAGUCGCGCAGCCGAAGCGAAAGCAAGUCCGAACAAGGCGUACAGUCAGCGGGAGUAGACGCGAAACCAAGUGAUCUACCCUUGGUCAGGUUGAAGGUUGGGUAACACCAACUGGAGGACCGCACCGAUAAGCGUUGAAAAGCUUACGGAUGAACUGAGGGUAGGAGUGAAAGGCCAAUCAAACUUGGAGAUAGCUCGUACUCCCCGAAAUGCAUUUAGGUGCAGCCUCGAAGCAGAGUGAUAGAGGUAGAGCGACUGAUAAGAUGCGAGGGCUUCACCGCCUAUCAAGUCUUGACAAACUCCGAAUACUAUCACUUGAUCUUUGGGAGUGAGGGCAUGGGUGCUAAGGUCCAUGUCCGAAAGAGGAACAACUCAGACCACCGGCUAAGGUCCCGAAAUAAGGGCUAAGUUGAACAAACGAAGUAAAACUGCAAAGACAGCUAGGAUGUUGGCUUGGAAGCAGCCAUUCAUUUAAAGAGUGCGUAACAGCUCACUAGUCGAGGAGUUUUGCAUGGAUAAUAAUCGGGCAUAAGCCCUUUACCGAAGCUGUGGAUGUCGUAAGACAUGGUAGGGGAGCAUUCCGGCGGCGACGAAGGCCGUCCUCGAGGACGACUGGAGCUUUCGGAAAAGCAAAUGUAGGUAUAAGUAACGAUAAAGGGGGCGCGAAACCCCCUCGCCAUAAGACUAAGGAUUCCUGAUCAACGCUAAUCGGAUCAGGGUAAGUCGGGCCCUAAGGCGCAGCCGAACGGCGCAGCCGAUGGAAGAAACGGUAAAAAUUCCGUUACUGGAUAUAGGAGCGAUGUGGAGACGGAGAAGUGACACACCCGCCUGCCGACGGAAGCGCAGGUUAAAGGAAGUAGGUAAACGCCGGGCAGGCAAAUCCGCCUGGCGUGCCGAAGCUGACAGUAUCGAGAGCCCCCGGGCAAUCGAAUAGCGGUGGUAAUCAGGCUCCCAAGAAAAUCCGCUAAGCAUAUUCUAUAUUCACCCGUACCCCAAACGGACACACGUAGUCGGGUAGAAUAUACCAAGGCGCUCGAAAGACUCACGGUUAAGGAACUAGGCAAAUUGACCCUGUAACCUCGGGAAAAAGGGUCCCCAGUAAGAUGGGGCGCAGAGAAUAGGUCCAGGCAACUGUUUAACAAAAACACAGGGCUGUGCAAAAUUUGAAGAUGAAGUAUACAGCCUGACACCUGCCCGGUGCCGGAAGGUUAAGAGGAGAGCUAAUCGCAAGAGAAGGCUUGAAUUGAAGCCCCGGUAAACGGCGGCCGUAACUAUAACGGUCCUAAGGUAGCGAAAUUCCUUGUCGG
rnacentral:rRNA from 1 species